GUGUCUCAGUAACACACUAGCAGGGAUGUGAGAGGUGUGUUUGCCAUGGGACUAAGCAGGCUGAAGUCUCUCUCUACCAAACCGCAAGCCUUGUUUCACCCGUUCAGUGUUGGACGGUGACAGGGGCACGUUAACACCUUUCACUCUUUCGGGGCCCUUGAGCCUGUUUAAAUGACCACAGAAGUUCCCGCCCCCUGUGUGAGUGGCACGGGGGACUGAGCGUCUUUUCUCCUUUCUCCCCUCUAGGAUGUCAGAAGCCCCAUAGACGGGGUGUAGCUCCUCCCCCUGCACACGCCAUUAGUCUGGCCACAGGCUGAGACAACACAACUGUCCCAGGGCACAACUGCAACGUGGUGAAGGUGACAUGUGUGAAACAGGGAAGUUCCAGCAGCUGGAGGACACGUCUCCUGAUCUGGAAAUCAGUCUUGGUUAUUGGUGCCAAGAAAACCAGUGCUCUGAAGGAGACUGAGGAAAAUCAAAGUGUGGAGAGGAACAAUGACAGACCCCACAGGAGAGUGCUGGUUUGGUGCUUAACCACACGGCGAAGGAACGAGAGCCCCAAAUUCCCCCUGGUGCUUUGGGAGCCAGGUUCUGUCAAAUAAUAGCAGCAAUCCCACCAUAACACAGCAGCCUGAAAUCUCAGCUCUCCCCCUCCCCUCGCGCUAAAGAGAGAGAGGAGACCCAGGCAGCCAGUUUCUCUGGGACAGAAGACAAAGGACAGAGGCUUGUGGGAAGAUGAGAUCGGAUGCUUGGCUGGAAAGAGGGGGCAUCUGGACUGGGGAGAGAAAACAGCCAGAGCCCACAUGGAUGCAGGAGAGACCUAGCUGGACUGUGCAGA